AUUGAACGCUGGCGGCAGGCUUAACACAUGCAAGUCGAGCGAGCGGCGGACGGGUGAGAAAUGUCUGGGAAACUGCCCGAUGGAGGGGGAUAACUACUGGAAACGGUAGCUAAUACCGCAUACCAUCAGAUGUGCCCAGAUGGGAUUAGCUUGUAGGUGGGGUAAUGGCUCACACGGGCGACGAUCCCUAGCUGGUCUGAGAGGAUGACCGGCAACACUGGAAUGGAGACACGGUCCAGACUCCUAUGGGAGGCACCGGUGGGGAAUAUUGCACAAGGGGCGCAGGCCGGAUGCAGCCAUGCCGCGUGGGUGAAGAAGUCCUUCGGGUUGUAAAGCAUUUUCAGCGAGGAGGCGUUACUCGCAGAGGAAGCACCGGCUAACUCCGUGCCAGCAGCCGCGGUAAUUC
rnacentral:rRNA from 1 species